rnacentral:misc_RNA from 1 species
UCCCAUGUUUUUGAAGUAAGAGACUUGAAAUUUAAAAUGUAUGCUCUAUAGAUGAUGAGAAGGUGUUCAAAUAAUGUAUCUUUAGAAAUCAACUAUCUUUUGGGGUUAAAACGGGGGAUGGUAGGUUGACGCACUCAUCACGAAAUCUCCGAAACUAUAACAGCUACAAACUUGAAAUUUGGCAGGUAGGUUCCUUAUAAGGCGUAUUUUACGAAACUUGACCCCUAAGGGGUAAAAUGGGGGUUGAAAGUUUGUAUGAAAGUCCUAUGUUUUUGAAGUAAGAGACUUGAAAUUUAAAAUGUAUGCUCUAUAGAUAGUGGAGGAGGUGUCCAAAUAAUGCAUCGUA